UGCUAUAUUAUGUAUAAUGUGAUAUGUGCAUAUUUGCCUCAUAGUAAGCAUUGUUAUUUUCUUGUUGUAGUUUUAAACUGAUCCUUUCAAUGAAAGCUGUAAAGGACCCUUAGCGUCUACCUCAACGCCAUAUAAACUCAUU